rnacentral:rRNA from 1 species
GACGAACGCUGGCGGCGUGCCUAAUACAUGCAAGUAGAACGCUGAAGGAGGAGCUUGCUUCUCUGGAUGAGUUGCGAACGGGUGAGUAACGCGUAGGUAACCUGCCUGGUAGCGGGGGAUAACUAUUGGAAACGAUAGCUAAUACCGCAUAAUAGCAGUUGUUGCAUGACAACUGUUUGAAAGGUGCAAAUGCAUCACUACCAGAUGGACCUGCGUUGUAUUAGCUAGUUGGUGGGGUAAAGGCUCACCAAGGCGACGAUACAUAGCCGACCUGAGAGGGUGAUCGGCCACACUGGGACUGAGACACGGCCCAGACUCCUACGGGAGGCAGCAGUAGGGAAUCUUCGGCAAUAGACGGAAGUCUGACCGAGCAACGCCGCGUGAGUGAAGAAGGUUUUCGGAUCGUAAAGCUCUGUUGUAAGAGAAGAACGAGUGUGAGAGUGGAAAGUUCACACUGUGACGGUAUCUUACCAGAAAGGGACGGCUAACUACGUG